GCCUGGAGAAACUGCAAGUUCUAAGGGGGUCUCAUAGAUGUGGAAGAUGGUAGUGUAGCGGUAGAUCUGCUCAAUCUAGGUGCGGGUGCACACGUGGGAAGCUCAUUCCCCAAGCCGUCUCCCAGGCCAGCCUGGACUCCCCAGGGUGUCUGCUCCAAGUACGAAUGUGUAGAGAGGGAGAGCUCAUGAUUGCAGAAAAGGGAAGAGCAGAAGGGACAAUGGGUCCACACAAACUCCCACCACAAAGAGGACACAGCCUUGCAAACCAGCACCCGUGCAGAGCACAGCACACCCAGGUAACUCACUUCUGACAGAAGAGCUGCCCGCAGUUCCUGCAAUGGUGCCUUCUCUCUGUGAGGGAGAAGCGUACAGAGCAUCCCGAACAGCUGUCGCCGCCUUCAUCCUUCACCCAGUGGUCAGCGGCUGAACGGCCAGGCUGGUCACUCACAGACCAGCUGAACACUCGGCCUCGACUGUCACCCACAAGGAUCCUGCUGUGAUCCCUGUGCAAAACACAAGAAGGCCUCUGGUCUAGGGCUCAGGGUGUUCAGAAGGAGCCCCAUUCCCUCAAAGGAUGUUAAAGAAGAAAAAAUUAAAAAUGAACCUGAAUUCCCGCCCCCCCCCCCCA
ensembl:antisense Gm20548 predicted gene 20548